rnacentral:rRNA from 1 species
GACGAAGGGGGCUAGCGUUGUUCGGAAUUACUGGGCGUAAAGCGCACGUAGGCGGCUAUUCAAGUCAGAGGUGAAAGCCCGGGGCUCAACCCCGGAACUGCCUUUGAAACUAGGUAGCUAGAAUCUUGGAGAGGUCAGUGGAAUUCCGAGUGUAGAGGUGAAAUUCGUAGAUAUUCGGAAGAACACCAGUGGCGAAGGCGACUGACUGGACAAGUAUUGACGCUGAGGUGCGAAAGCGUGGGGAGCAAACAGG